UACGUAGGGGGCAAGCGUUGUCCGGAAUUAUUGGGCGUAAAGCGCGCGCAGGCGGCUCUUUAAGUCUGGUGUUUAAUCCCGAGGCUCAACUUCGGGUCGCACUGGAAACUGGGGAGCUUGAGUGCAGAAGAGGAGAGUGGAAUCCACGUGUAGCGGUGAAAUGCGUAGAGAUGUGGAGGAACACCAGUGGCGAAGGCGACUCUCUGGGCUGUAACUGACGCUGAGGCGCGAAAGCGUGGGGAGCAAACAGG
rnacentral:rRNA from 1 species